CUACGGGACGCUCCAGUGAGGAGUAUUGCACAAUGGGGGGAACCCUGAUGCAGCAACGCCGCGUGGAGGAUGACGCAUUUCGGUGUGUAAACUCCUUUUAUAUGUCAAGAAAAUGACGGUAGCAUAUGAAUAAGCACCGGCUAACUCCGUGCCAGCAGCCGCGGUAAUACGGAGGGUGCAAGCGUUACUCGGAAUCACUGGGCGUAAAGGACGCGUAGGCGGGUUGGAAAGUCAGGUGUGAAAUCCUACAGCUUAACUGGAGGACUGCACUUGAAACUUCUAAUCUAGAGUAUGGGAGGGGGAGAUGGAAUUAGUGGUGUAGGGGUAAAAUCCGUAGAUAUCACUAGGAAUACCUAAAGCGAAGGCGAUCUCCUGGAACAUUACUGACGCUAAGGCGUGAAAGCGUGGGGAGCAAACAGGAUUAGAUACCCCUGUAGUC
rnacentral:rRNA from 1 species